rnacentral:siRNA from 1 species
UCCCCGGUGGGGGAGGUGAGUUGU